AGGAGAGCAGUGUGAGUUUCACAAUGGAGAGCAGGAGAGCAGGAGAGCAGGCAACAAGAGCAAUAAUUUCCAAUGAAAUUAGAGCAACAAUCAUACACCAUGUUCUGGUUCAUGGAAUGAGUAUGAGGGAAGCAGGACUACGUGUUCAGCCAAACAUAAGCAGGUUCUCUGUGGCCUCCAUUGUCAGGACAUUCAGAGAAGAGAACAGAAUUGAAAGACUGCCACAUGUCAGUGGAAGGAGAGUGAGUUGAGGAAGACAACGUGAACUUUGAAGGAAUCAACAGUGUGAGUCUCUCCACAACUGACCGUGUCCCUGAAACGCAACCUGAUAAGUCUCAAACAAGCCUACAGAAUACCAUUUGAGAGAAAUUCUGAAAGGCAAAAGAGCUACGAUAUCUAUGUACAAAGGCCUCAUGAGUGCAUCUUCUUGGAUGAAGCUGGCUUCAAUCUCACCAAGCGGAGGAGAGGCCGCAACAUUAUUGGUCAACAUGCCAUUGUAGAGUUGCCAGGGCAGCGUGGUGGCAACGUGACCAUAUGUGCUGCCAUCAGCAUCUACGGGGUUAUUCACCGCCAUGUGACUUUAGGGCCUUACAAUACUGCCCAUCUUAUGUUUCUGCAUGCUCUACAGGAAGCACUACUGAGACGUGAACAGAGGUGAUGAGCAGGCAGAGCAUCCCAUGUAUGUGGUAAUCUGGGACAAUGUGAACUUUCACCGUGGUCCUAGAAUUUGAGUGGUUUGAAAAUAACCUACGUUUUAUAAAUGUGUGCCUCCCACCAUA